AAAAAAAAAAAAGUGGCAGCUGAACCCAAGAUAGCAUAGCGUAAAAACUCAACUGUCGGCGUUUUGUUUCAUUUUCAAUUGAAUGAAACUCAUUUUUCUACACUUUUUAUUGUUUGCUGGCGUUUUGCAUUUUUCAUUUUCACGUUCCGGGUUUUCUCUGUGUUUUUUUUUUUGUUUACUCUGUGUCGCUGGUUAGUUGAUCGUGGGCAAAAAAGUCUGUUUGUAGGACAAUUCAAGUGGAAGUCGAAGGCUUUGCCAAGGCACUUUCGUGCAAUCGCACUGUUGAGUGGCAGACUGCGGCUGACGACGUCCGACUACCGACGACGCUACGCUACAGACACGUACAUCGGCAAGCCAGCAAACCAGUACGCCAGACGACGAAUGAGGCGUAUGCGCCCGAACUUUUUAUGCGAAUUUCAUGCAUGUAUCUGUGUGCGUGUGUGUGUGUAAGUGACGCCAACAACAACAACAAUAGCAAAGACGGUGGCAAUGUAAAGCGGGUUUUGUGCAAUGGAGCGUUUAAUGCAUGGAUGAAUCAAAAAUUACAAAAAAAAAUAAAUAAAUAAUAAUAAUAAUGCAAAAUGUAAGCAAUGCUAAAAAAUCAGCAUGAAAUGUGAGCAGGAAAAAGUCACAGGGGGCUCGCCUCACAACAACAAUGCUGGCGAAAAUCCGCUUUGUAGACAGCCGGGCAUUGGCACUCAGCAGUUUUUGCUUAAUGAAUUCUGAACAUGCACUUUUAGGCGUGAACAAAUCCACGCCGCGGGGGAACACACACACACAUACACUAUAUACAAACGUAUAUACAUAUGUAUGGGUGUGUGUGUUUCCAGAAGUUCACUUCGGUAAAAAGGUAGAAAUGAGGGUUGUUGCUGAAUUAUCCGCAACAUAGUAGCCGCGCACACUUUUUUGUUGCAUCGGUACCGGCCAGAACAGGCAAAGCGUUUAGUUGGGAAUUUAAAUUACUGAUAGCAUCACGAUCUUGUGCGCACUUACGGCAGUUCUGCACGACUAUAUCACAAUUAAUUAAUUAAUCAACGAUUUUUAUUGGGAUUGUUAAACUUGCUCAAUUAUGAAAUAAUAUAGUAAUGGGUUUUUAUCGUUAUCGCUUAAUAAUUGACAGACCUAAAUUUUUGAAGUUCGAAAUUUUAAUGCUUAAUUACAUAGGGGUCCGUUGUCCGUCCGUUUCUUCUUGGAAAAAUUUUAAACGAUAAAUACCACAGUUCUUUUUCUUCCAGAUUCCAAAAAUGAUAAAAAACGGCGAACUCUAAAAGGCAGAUCAGCUUUGAAAUAGUCGGCAGUUUUGUGGUUGCUUGACACAAUAUUAUUUGAAGACGAGCAAAAAUGAACACCAGCAAAGAGAAAAUAAACCAUAUCUUCGAUAAAAUGGAAAACUAAAAUCAGCUGGCUGAAAAUAUGAUUAGUAUUUAUGGUACUAAUCAGGGUUGCGAAUUUUUAUAUUCCAUAAUUUUGGAUUAUGAAUGAAUUUUUUAUUUUUUAAUCCCGAUGUUGGGCUUAAAAGGUUGAUGGAGCAAGCCAAGAUUGAGGGUCAGAAAGGUUUUGCUAUGUGUUUGAUGGGAUUUGCAGGAAAGCAAAAUCUAUGAGUUGCUCCUCUACGAAUAAAAUCUUAACUUGGAGCUGUACUAUCAACAAUUAGACCUUCGGAAGGCAGCAAUCGCCCAGAAGCAUUCAGCGUUGACCAAUUAUAGAGAAAUUGUGUUUCAUCAGAACAAGACAGAUUGUGACUCGUUAGCAGCUACGAGAACUAUGUUGGGAGGUUCUUAUGCAUGCACCUUAUAGUGCGGACCUGGCUCCAGUGAUUACCAACUGUUCCUAUCUCUGACGAAUAAUAGUAAUCGACUGUCCGAGCAUUUUGCCAAUAGGGACAUAGAACGGGUAGGGACGAAUUUGGCUUAGGUUCUCCCUUGACUGUAGAACAUACUAACUCAACAUACGGGUCGACGUAACAAGAUAUUAAUAUCAUUCGCAAGCAUAUGCAUAUAUUUGGGCAUUGACAGAAUAAAAAAUUUUCGAAAUAAUUUCGUGUACUUACAUUUAGCAUAUCGUCGCUAUUUACAGUUUUCAAAUAAAGCAGGCAAUUAAAUGUUUCUUUGCUUAAGGCAUUAUGUAGCGAUAUUUGAAAGUAGCAGAAAGGUAUUAGGCGUUGCUGACAAUUUUGCUUGUUAGGGCCAAUAUUUUCCAGACUAAUCUCGUUGAAUAUAAAUGUAAAUAUUUUUUUUUUUUGACGAAAGCUAUGAUAAAGCAGAUACAAAAAAUAGGCUUAGAUUACUAAGAGAAAUCAAAAUACACAACAAAUAUUAAGUCGACUUAAGCUACUUCAGAAUAAUUGUUUCAUCAAUUACUUCAAUGACAGGGUCAUUAGCCUCGAUAAGUCAAUACAAAUCUCCUCAAGUGGCUGUAGAUAUAAACAACUUACUAACCCCGUAAUUGCCGUAAUAUUUAUGGCUUUCGUGAAGAAAACUAAAAUAUACCUAUGUACAUAUGUAUAAUAUAAUAUAU